rnacentral:lncRNA from 1 species
UAUUUGGCUCCUACCCUGACUGCUUCCAACUACCUGGACAGGACAAAACAGUGGAGCAAACUGUCCCCUGAGACCAAGGACCAUGCUGUGCAUCUGAUCCAGAAAGGUUCUGGGUUAAGGGAAAGCAAGAGUCAGAGCCAGGGAGGGCAUGAAAGGCAGCCAGGAGCCUAGAGAGAGAAGCUGGGGUCAAGGGUAGGGCGCUGGGAGUACAGUCCUGGCCCAAACAGCAGGAGAGUAGGAACCUUGGCACCUCUUUUUUCCCAGGCCACGUUCGGAUCCAGCAGUUUCGGAAGAAAGAUGGCUCUUUUGGGGCUUGGUUACACCGGGACAGCAGCACCUGGCUGACUGCCUUUGUGCUGAAGAUUCUGAGUUUGGCCCAGGAACAGGUGGGCAACUCCCCGGAGAAGCUGCAGGAGACGGCUAGCUGGCUGCUGGCCCAGCAGCUGGGUGAUGGCUCCUUCCACGACCCAUGUCCAGUCAUCCACAGAGCAAUGCAGGUGUG